CUGUAGUGUAAUGGUAACACGCCGGACUUUGACUCCGUCGUUGUAGGUUCGAGUCCUGCCAGG
rnacentral:tRNA from 1 species